AUUGAACGCUGGCGGCACGCUUAACACAUGCAAGUCGAAUGGCAGCAGGAUUGGACGCAAGUUCAAUUGCUGGCGAAUGGCGGACGGGUGAGUAAUGCGUAGGAAUUUAUCCAGAAGAGAGGGCUAACCCGAGGAAACUCGGGCUAAUACCACAUAAUUUCUGAGGAACAAAAGUUGCCGCACACUUAAGCUUAAUUGAGGAUUGAGGAUUGAGGAAGAGAUUGAGUUUAGAUGUGCGGUGAUGCUUUAGGAGGAGCCUACGUUGGAUUAGCUAGUUGGAGAGGUAAAGUCUCCCCAAGGCGACGAUCCAUAGCUGGUCUGAGAGGACGGACAGCCACACUGGGACUGAGACACGGCCCAGACUCUUACGGGAGGCAGCAGUGGGGAAUAUUGGACAAUGGGGGAAACCCUGAUCCAGCGAUGCCGCGUGUGUGAAGAAGGCCCGAGGGUUGUAAAGCACUUUUGCUAGGGAGGAGAGGCUCAUAUUAAAUAGGUAUGAGUUAGGACGUUACCUAGAGAAUAAGCACCGGCUAACUCUGUGCCAGCAGCCGCGGUAAUACAGAGGGUGCAAGCGUUAAUCGGAGUGACUGGGCGUAAAGGGCGAGUAGGCGGUUAAUUAAGUGAGAUGUGAAAAGUCUGGGCUUAACCUAGGAAGUGCAUCUUAGACUGAUUGACUAGAGUUCAGUAGAGGGAGACGGAAUUUCCGGUGUAGCGGUGGAAUGCGUAGAUAUCGGAAAGAACAUCAGUGGCGAAGGCGGUCUUCUGGACAUGAACUGACGCCGAGAAGCGAAAGCGUGGGUAGCGAACAGGAUUAGAUACCCUGGUGGUCCACGCUGUAAACGAUGAAUACUAGCUGUUGGUCUGCGACGACAGACGAGUGGCGAAGCUAACGCGCUAAGUAUUCCGCCUGGGGAGUACGGCCGCAAGGCUAAAACUCAAAGGAAUUGACGGGGGCCCGCACAAGCGGUGGAGCAUGUGGUUUAAUUCGAUGCAACGCGAAAAACCUUACCUACUCUUGACCUUAUACGAAGUGUGCAGAGAUGUAUAUGUGCCCGAAAGGGAAUGUAUAAACAGGUGCUGCAUGGCUGUCGUCAGCUCGUGUCGUGAGAUGUUGGGUUAAGUCCCGAAACGAGCGCAACCCUUAUCCUUAGUUACCAUCACGUAAAGGUGGGGACUCUAAGGAGACUGCUGGUGAUAAGCCGGAGGAAGGUGGGGAUGACGUCAAGUCAUCAUGGCCUAUAUGAGUAGGGCUACACACGUGCUACAAUGGAUAGUACAGAGGGAGGCGAAGUGGCGACACGGAGCGGAACUCAGAAAGCUAUUCGUAGUCCGGAUUGAAGUCUGCAAUUCGACUUCAUGAAGCUGGAAUCGCUAGUAAUCGCAAAUCAGCACGUUGCGGUGAAUACGUUCUCGGGCCUUGUACACACCGCCCGUCACACCAUGGAAGUGGGUUGUACCAGAAGUGGUUAGCUUAACCGCAAGGGGAGCGAUCACCACGGUAUGAUUCAUGACUGGGGUG
rnacentral:rRNA from 1 species